rnacentral:rRNA from 1 species
CCUACGGGUGGCAGCAGUGAGGAAUAUUGGUCAAUGGACGCAAGUCUGAACCAGCCAAGCCGCGUGCAGGAAGACGGCUCUAUGAGUUGUAAACUGCUUUUGUACGAGGGUAAACGCAGAUACGUGUACCUGUCUGAAAGUACCGUACGAAUAAGCAUCGGCUAACUCCGUGCCAGCAGCCGCGGUAAUACGGAGGAUUCAAGCGUUAUCCGGAUUUAUUGGGUUUAAAGGGUGCGUAGGCGGUCGGAUAAGUUAGAGGUGAAAUCCCGAGGCUCAACUUCGGAAUUGCCUCUGAUACUGGUCGGCUAGAGUAGAGUUGAGGUAUGCGGAAUGUGUGGUGUAGCGGUGAAAUGCUUAGAGAUCAGACAGAACUCCGAUUGCGAAGGCAGCUUACCAAGCUACUUCUGACGUUGAGGCACGAAAGCGUGGGGAGCAAACAGGAUUAGAUACCCCAGUAGUC